AACUUAUUGGUGUAUUACAACAUUUAGAAUUUUCAUUUCUAAGAACUUAAGUUA
rnacentral:tRNA from 1 species